rnacentral:rRNA from 1 species
AUUGAACGCUGGCGGAAUGCUUUACACAUGCAAGUCGAACGGUAACAGGUCUUCGGAUGCUGACGAGUGGCGAACGGGUGAGUAAUACAUCGGAACGUGCCCGAUCGUGGGGGGAUAACGCAGCGAAAGCUGUGCUAAUACCGCAUACGAUCUACGGAUGAAAGCGGGGGAUCGCAAGACCUCGCGCGGACGGAGCGGCCGAUGGCAGAUUAGGUAGUUGGUGGGAUAAAAGCUUACCAAGCCGACGAUCUGUAGCUGGUCUGAGAGGGCGACCGGCCACACUGGGACUGAGACACGGCCCAGACUCCUACGGGAGGCAGCAGUGGGGAAUUUUGGACAAUGGGCGAAAGCCUGAUCCAGCCAUGCCGCGUGCAGGAAGAAGGCCUCGGUUGUAACGUAGCUUAGUCUUAGAAAAGGGUAAGGACGAGGUUAAGUAACCGUACGUCGUCUUGUAUGGUACGUUGGAAGAAAGUAAAGACAACCGGACGUAACCUAACGUACGCCGACGCAGACCGACGGUAAAAACGG